rnacentral:lncRNA from 1 species
GCAUGUUCCAUAACAGCCAUCAGCUGAAUACAGUUAUAGCCAAGAUCCCUUAUUCUGGGUAGUACAUUAUAUGUGAAGUUUUUAUAAGAAGCUAUUUUCCCUUCUGGAGAAGCAAUUCCCACAUGAGAUUCAUAGAUUCUCAGACUUUUUAAUUUCUUGGGGGAACGAUGCUUACGUAUAUAUGACUGUGGUGGAUCCCAGUGUACCCAAUCGUAAUUCACUUUGCCUUCAUAACGGACUACAUAUCUUGCCCAUGGUGAAAUACGAUAGAGGAGUUCGCCAUUUUGAGCACGAAUCACCACCUUUAGCUUUGAUCCAUGAGGCACAGGAGAAAAACCAUCUUGUCCAGGUGGAAUGAACAACUCCCAUUUCCCAUACUCCAUUUUCUUAUAUGGAUGAGAAAAUGGAUUCCAGCCAUUGAAAUCACCUGUGAGAAACACCGCUUCUGCACCUGGUGCCCACUCUUUGCAAUAUACUCCACCAUCCACAAAUU